rnacentral:tRNA from 1 species
UCCCUGGAGGACUAGUGGUUAGGCCCCAGCGUGCUCACCACUGUGGCCUGGGUUCAAUUCCCGGCCAUGGAA